rnacentral:rRNA from 1 species
CACGUAGGAUCCGAGCGUUAUCCGGAUUUACUGGGCGUAAAGCGCGUGUAGGUGGUUUGUUAAGUUGGGUGUUAAAUCUCUCGGCUCAAUUGGGAGGUGUUGCUCAAAAUUAGCAGACUUGAGGAUGGUAGAGGGAGGUGGAAUUCCGGGUGUAGUGGUGAAAUGCGUAGAUAUCCGGAGGAACACCAGUGGCGAAGGCGGCCUCCUGGACCAUUCCUGACACUCCAACGCGAAAGCUAGGGGAGCAAACGGG